rnacentral:rRNA from 1 species
UACGUAGGGGGCAAGCGUUGUCCGGAAUUAUUGGGCGUAAAGCGCGUGUAGGCGGCUCGGUAAGUCUGCUGUGAAAGUCCAAGGCUCAACCUUGGAAAGCCGGUGGAUACUGUCGAGCUCGAGUCCGGAAGAGGCGAGUGGAAUCCUGGUGUAGCGGUGAAAUGCGCAGAUAUCAGGAGGAACACCAAUGGCGAAGGCAGCUCGCUGGGACGGUACUGACGCUGAGACGCGAAAGCGUGGGGAGCAAACAGG